rnacentral:lncRNA from 1 species
UAGAAUGUUCCUCAUGGUUGGGGCUCUUGAAGUUCAAAUUUUGCAUAACUGCAUUUCUCUCUCUCUCUCUCUCUCUCUCUAUGUGGGUAUAUGUGGUUUCUCUCUCUCUCUCUCACUGUGAGUGGUUGAGUAUGAUGUGUGCAUGCACACCUGCAUGUGUGUGCAUGCACACCUGCAUGUGUGUGCAUGCAUGUGUAUUCUACUGCCCCUCUUUGGCAGAAUGGCUUGAGCAUUGCAUGAGGAUUCACCUUUCUAAGUUUAGAUUGUGG